rnacentral:rRNA from 1 species
AUUGAACGCUGGCGGCAGGCCUAACACAUGCAAGUCGAGCGGCAGCGGAAAGUAGCUUGCUACUUUGCCGGCGAGCGGCGGACGGGUGAGUAAUGUCUGGGAAACUGCCUGAUGGAGGGGGAUAACUACUGGAAACGGUAGCUAAUACCGCAUAACGUCGCAAGACCAACGAGGGGGACCUUCGGGCCUCCUGCCAUCAGAUGUGCCCAGAUGGGAUUAGCUAGGAGGUGGGGUAACGGCUCACCUAGGCCACGGUCCCUAGUUGGUCCUAGAGGAUGACAAGCCACACUGGAACUGAGACACGGUCCAGACUCCUACGGGAGGCAGCAGUGGGGAAUAUUGCACAAUGGGCGCAAGCCUGAUGCAGCCAUGCCGCGUGUAUGAAGAAGGCCUUCGGGUUGUAAAGUACUUUCAGCGGGGAGGGAGGUGUUGAGGUUAAUAACCUCAGCAAUUGACGUUACCCGCAGAAGAAGCACCGGCUAACUCCGUGCCAGCCGCCGCGGUAACAC